CCCAGGUGGAAUCGGAGACUACGGGCCGAGACCCAAUUAUUUCACCCGAAAGCUGAGUUACGGACGGGGGGUUGGAGGACAGAGUGACUCACAGGUUUCAGAACAAGCAGAAGAACAUGACAGAUGACUCACACCAAGUUAACACCACGUUUCAGUCUGCGUUGCCCUCGGCGGCUGGAGGACCCGACUGUUAAUGAGAUGUGUCAAGUUUGAUUAAACGUCUUUUAAUUCCUGUAACAUGUUGACUUUCCAGCGGUGCUAUUUUUCACGCCCUCCAGCCUGAAUGAUUAAGGAGAACGUCACGUGACCUAGCUUUUGUUGUGCUGCACAAUUCUACACACACCUCUGAAAGUUCACGGAAAGUUUAUGCCUCCACUUUAUCUGUUGUAGGCUAAUCAUUGUAAUCCACAAUGGAAU